CAUUUUAGAUUUUGACCUUAAUAUGCCAAAAAAAGCCCAAGAGCCUCAAGAGGACAUAAUGAAGAAAAUAAAUUCUGCAUUUUGGAUAGAACUAAACAUAACUCUAAAAUUUUUGGCAUUUUGUAUUUUAUCAUUCUAAAGUAGUUGACAUUUUGCAUUUUGCAUUCCAUGAGGAACAAAACAGUAUCUUUAAAAAAAACCAAAAACUUCAAGCUAGAACCCUUUUUGAAUAAAAUAAAUCAACAUUCACAUAAGAGAACGGAUCCCUUCAUCGUUUCAUCAAACACAUCACGUUGUUACGUACCCCUGAGUUACUAAUGCAAACAAUGGAUAUCUAUUUAAACACAUGCUCCUCUUGGAGGUCCCCUGCUCUGCUCUAUUUCUCAAAGAAUCCAGCAGCACCUAACAUAUCAGCAACGUCUGACGAAAAUGCGUCGCAGGAGCUCACGAUAGUGGAACAGUUCGAUGACAGGCAGUUAGAGCCGAGGGCA
rnacentral:lncRNA from 1 species